rnacentral:lncRNA from 1 species
CACCUCUAAUAAUUCAGCUCUAGAGAGAAGCCAUUGUUUGUCAUUGAAACCAAUAGUAAUUAUUAGUUUUGCUGGGUCAGCCUUAUGUGGAACACACGACAACCAAACAGAAGCAUGUACUGCAUCACCUGGAGAGCCUGAUAAACAUUAGGCAGAAGUUCAAGGAGGUAUUUGUUAAUACCACAUUUCUAUCACUCCUGGAAAAGCAUUUGCUGAAAAAAAAGCAUCUGGCUGAAGAGAAUCAGAAAACCAAAUAUAAAACUACUUUUGAUUCAAAAAAGAGAAAACCACAAGUAAUGACAGAUACUGAAAGGAGAGAUGAUAGAAGUGACCAAAACCAGAGGGACUUCAGAGUAGUUCUGGAGCUCCUUCGUUGAACAAUAACGUAAGAGUCUUUUAACAAAGGAAAUUAAUUAAAAUAAAAAUUUCCUUUUAUUUAUACAAAAACAUUUUUCGAUUUUGAAGUGACAGUCUUUGCUAAAGUCCUAUCACUGACUUUAAAAACUCAGUUAAGAAACAAAGUUAAAACUUUGUUUACUAUUCCUACCUCUGAUAGAGAGAACUGAGUUUUAUUAUAAUUAAAACUUUUAAAAAAUGUGUCUGUAUUAACAGUUCACUUCUCCCACUGCAAUUUCCCUAGCCAUUUUCAAAAAUCUACUUUGUAUUGACAAAUGUAGAGCCUUUAAAGCAACUGAUGUUUGGAAGUGGGAAAUCAGAAGUCCUUCCCAGAUAUGAUAGAUUCUGAUCAGGAAAAUAUAAUCUUUAAUUUACCUACUUUUCUUUUUCAGGGCAUAGCAGGAAUUUGAAAUGCAUACCUCUGGAAAAGGCACAGAUUUGAAAUAGAACACCUGCUAAGCUCUUGUUUUCUUCUAAUCAGUGCUUUCUGAUUGAGAAAAUUAGACAUGCACACAAUAUGUGUGUGUUACAUGUUAAGAAUAUUCAAGCUAAUUUAUUUUCCUUAUUCAUACUGAAUUUAGUUCCUAGAUCUCUUAGUUCCUUGAAACCCAGACAAGUUUGUAAUCCUGAGACAUUUACAUCUUUCUUUAUUUUAUAUUCUACCAAAGUAACAAUUUAUUUGGAGAGAUUGUAUAUAAUUCCAAUGUAAAACUAGUAAUUCAUUAUUAUUGUCUUAUAUUUGUUACAACUAGCCACUUAGUAACAAUAAAGUUUUGUACAAUUGGCUUAAGUGUCUUGCAGUUUAUAAUAUGGUAUCUUAAUCAUACUCAACAUUACAUAAAUGUUUGCUGAAUGUAACCAUAAUGAGCAGUGGUAUAUUUAAGCUAGUUUUUUGCUAUUCUGUUAAUUUCAUUUUUUGGUAAUUUUUGUAACAGACAUGUAUUACUAAAAUAUUAUUUCUACCAGUUGUGAAAACUGAAAGAACCCUGUGUUUUGCCCAUCUCCGUCUCCUUCUACACAAAUACUAUUUAUAGGAAUCUAAAUUAAGAAUCCACAUUUUCAAGGAAAUUCUGUAUUGUGUGAAAUGAGUUCUUUUCAAGCCAAAAAAUCAGACUGAGUGUACAGUCCACGAUCUCUAACUUUGAGUUCAUCAUCACUUCUUAGGAACUACCUGGUAAAAUGCCUUAACUGCCAGGAUAGGGAAUGAGGAUAUUGUAUAACUUACUUACAAGUCCUAGGCCAUGGAGAGCUUUAUAAAUUAAAAUGAACAUCUAGAAUGACUGUUGGAAGCCAGAGCUAUGCACAGAGCAUCUGUAUAAUGUGCUCUGUGUGGUUGGCAUUGCUAAACAGACAAGCUGUCACAUUCUGUACUAGGUGAAUAUUCCAGGGCUCUUCCUCUGUCAACCAAGGUAGAGGACAUGGCAGUAGUCAAACCUCAAGGUGACAAAAACCUACAGUAGUGUGGUGAGCCCUGUAUUAUAGAGGGAAAUUUACAAGUGUAGGUGGGAAGAAGCAUCUUUUUCCACAGCACCUAUAUCAUAAUCCAAAUGCCUCCUUGGGCUGAGAACACUACUAUUAAAAUAAAGGUACAUUUUACGACAGGGACCGUACUCAGUAAAAUCUUAAAAAACAAAAAUAAAAUUUAUAGAAAGGGUCAUCUUACAUAUUUCUAAAGACACUUUUUGAAAAGUAGUUAUAAUACUGCAAUAAUUUAAUGUGACAAGAGUAACUUAUUUUGAAAUUCAACAAAGAAUAUUACCAUGAAUUUUACUGACAGACUACAUGAAUAUACUUCAUUUUUUAAAAAGUACACUUUAUUAAAUUUAUGUCCUCUUUUUCUUAUUCUAGAGAAAUCCCAAAUUAUUUAUUUUUAAUUUUUAAAAAUAUUGUCUUCAUAAGCAAAGAAAGAAUGAUAAUCCUUUAAUGGCUUGUGUAUGGUUUAAGUACACAAUCUAUGAACUAUGGCUAUUUGGUGCCACCUAGUGGUGGAGGGCUUUUAAAAUCAAUUUAAGUUACCUCUGCUUUUAGAACAUUUGCAAUGAAAAAUAAUUUAUAGGUGGCUGGAUUGUCUCCGAAAAGAGAGAUAAAAGUUAAGAAAAAAUAUAUUUGUUAUUCAUAGACAUUAAUGAAGAUUCUCUCUUACUCUCAACACUGGAGAGACAUUUGGUUUGACUGAUACAGAAUGCUUUAUGACUAAAAGAGGUUUGGGGUUGACAGGUUUUUAUUCUAUUUUUAUUAUUUUAUUUUUUGUUGGUUUGUUUACAGGCUGGUUUCUAAAGUCAAGGGAAGAUUCAGGAUUGAUAUAAAUUUAGAGAUGACAUAUGAUCUCGGAAUUCUAAAGUCAAGGCUAGAUCGAGGAUUGGUAUAAACAGAGAUGGCGUACAACCUCAGAAUUGAUUAUUCUUCUUAAUCCAAUCAUCUGUCGAUGGAUAUUUGGGUUGUUUCCAUGUCUUGGCUAUUGUGAAUAGUGCUGCAAUGAACAUGCAGGUACAUGUGUCUUUUUUAAGGAAAGUUUUGUUCAGAUAUAUGCCCAAGAGUGGGAUUGCUGUGUCAUAUAGCAGUUCUACAUGUAUGUGCAACUGGGCCACCAUGCUGUACAGUAGAAAAAAAAAUGAUUUGUAAAAGUGAAAAUUCCUGAUAAACUAAGGAUGAUGUUACUAUAAUGGGGUGUCAAAGUCAUUUUCAAAUUGUGGGGUCUACAAAGAAACAGAAUAAGCCACUCUUUAGAGAAGUUAGGGUAGCUGAGCCAUGCGGAGGGGAAAACAAAGAGGAGCACUCUAUAAUUUCUGAGAGAAAGGAGCAGUCUUAAUUCUUGACUUUCAGUUCCCUUAUUCCUGUGCUCAAGCUUUAAGUCUGUGUCUUGUCCUUGGCUGAUACCUUCACAUAACUUCCUUCUUACUUGAUCUAACAGUUUUUGAUCUUUUCAAUCAAAUGAUCUCACAUUACAGAGUAGAUAUUUCAAUUUUGAAAUAUUUCAAAUUUGAUGGGAAUAAUGUCUUUGCCAAAAUGUCUGUGAAUAUUGGAUGUCAUCAGGAAAUUGUAGAAUAUUCGAUUAAAAUUUUAUUUUUAUACUGAAAUUCCAGAUCUUUAAUUGUAGAUUUGAUAAUAUUUUAAGACAUGUAGGUUUUUUCCUCCUAUAUUUUCCUUUUUUUUCCUCCUGUUUAGCAAAUACCUAACUUGCUACCUCAUGGGAAAGGCAUUUGGAUGUAGGGUGUAUGUGUAAACACUGAUGUUCCUGGCUGGGUUUCCAGAAGCUCUAGGCCAGGUUACAUUUGUAUGGGGGUGGAGGAGGGACACUAUGUAGGAUUAUAUGGCAUGUACCUAUGCCUUUGAGAAACAAAAGUGGAAAGGAAUUUCUCUAGUCUCUAAAUAUAAAGGAUAUACAGACUUGAUGAAUCUAAAGUAAUCUAUUUGAUUCUUCAUAUCUCACUAAUAAAAAUCCAAAAAUUAUGUCCAUCUGUGAUCAUUUCUUUAUUGCCAAGGCUGUUUUACUGAGCGGGUGGGGAAGAGUCAAUGGUGAAGGGAUUUCCUGCUUAGAUUUGCUGGGGUUGGAGCAGGACCUAACUACUGAUAAUGGCAAGUGGAGAAGAAAGAGGCUUGUAAGAGUAGAGAACAGAGGGCAGGUAAGCCCUGCUUCUUGAAAGCUUUGCUAGCGGAGGUAAUAGGGUGUGGUCACAAGUCCCCAGGAAGGAAAUGGCUGUAUGUUUGGUCUAGGCAGAGGGGACCCUAUACAGCUGCAAAAAGUUGUCCCAUCUCUGUAACAUUUCAAAAGCAGUAGCAAAGGUCUCAGCGAUGUGCAAGGUCAUGUGGCUGGUUUGAUGGUGGUGAUGACCAAGACAAGUUGGUCCCUUUUCCCCAUUCUUGAUCUUGUUUAAGAGCCUAGAACUGGAUCACCACCCUGGGAGGAUUCCAGAAAGGGUUGAGGUUAACUUUUCAACAUCCAAGCAGAACAGGGGCUAGAGACUAGAAAUGAAGGUGUUCCAUAAAACAACGUGCUUGUACCCCUUGGGCGUGGGCUGAGAUUUCACCAUCUAAUGCUAGAAUAUAAAAUGUUGCAUUUCUAUUUUAUAUCGACCAAUAGUUAUGUUAAUUUAAAAAACACACUAAGAGAGCUUUUAUUUUCUACUUUAGGGGUAUUCCCAAAACCGUCUGCUUCAGUAUCACUCAAGUGCUUAUUAAAACUAAUACAGAUUCCCAGGCUGCACCCCAGAUACACUGCCUCCCCAGGGUCAGGGCUCAGGGAAAAGUUCUUGGAAAAGUACCCUAGAUUCUUCUGAUUUGUAACCAACUUGGGAACCAACGCUCUCACUGAUUAAAUCAUUAAAAAUAACUCUAUGGUUACAUCAAUCUCAAUUAUUCAAACUUCUUUCGGUUAACUGUAGUUAACCUAGAGGAAUUUUCUAUAGGAGAAAAAUGUGUUAUUUUUUCUAAAUUUACUUUAAAAACACUAUGUAAAUGAUGUAUGCGUAAUUCACUUGUUAAAGAUAACAGUUACAGGGAGUUCCCGUCAUGGCUCAGUGGAAACGAAUACGACUAGGAACCAUGAGGUUGCGGGUUCGAUCCCUGGCCUCGCUCAGUGGGUUAAGGACCUGGCGUUGCCGUGAGCUGUGGUGUAGGUUGCCGAUGUGGCUCAGAUCUCGCAUUGCUAUGUCUGAGGUGUAGGCCAGCAGCAAUAGCUCUGGUUAGACCCUCCAACCUGGGAACCUCCCUAUGCUCUGGGUGUGGCC